UGGAAAAUAAGGGUCCAUAUUGUUCGUCUGUGGAGACAAUUCACCGUAGCAGGUAUCCAGAGUAUUGAGAUGGUUUUAGUUGAUUCCCAUGGUGAUGCUAUUCAUGCAACUAUUAGUGAGGAAUUAGUUCCUACAUUUGAAUCCAACAUCCUAGAAGGUGACUCGAAGAUUUUCUAUAAUUUUCAACUUUCUCUAUCCACCGACUCCUAUCGAACAACAAACCAUCCUUACAAAAUUUUGUUACAAGACUUUACUCGGGUUCGAUUUUGUGAGGAUAUGUCGUUCAGUUCGACCGGUUUUAAACCUUGCAGUUUUCAUGAUAUCUUAAACGGUAGUCUGAACCCGCAAUAUUUGUUCGAUAUUAUUGGUCAGGUUGUGGAGAUUUCUAAUGUUGAAAUCGUCUCUCUUAAUGGAAAGGACACCGAAAAGAUUUCG